GAGCGGAGCCGCUGUUCUCAGCUGCAGCAGGAUCUGCCCCCGGCCCCGCUGGGAUCCAGGCUGCAGAAUGAUGCCCACGUCUCGCUCCGGUUCAUCCCAUCCUCCUAUGGGACAGGGAAGGGAAAUGGCUGCAGAGGAGCCCGUUCAGGGUUUCCAGUUUCCAAACCGGAUGUGAUCUCGCAGCUGGAAUGAGGGGAACAGCCGUGGGUCUCAGACCUCUAUGGCUCUGAAAAAAAAGUGCUCCCGAGAGCUGUGUGCACAGGUGAGGAAUUGGGUGAACCAUCUCAACAACUGUCUGUGAAUACAGGAAACAUUUGGGAUGCCCUACAAAGACUCUGCAAGUUGUAAGUGCUCCAAGUUCAGAACUGUUCCCUGCAGAUGUGACCUCCAGACUCACAGCUCUGCUGGUGCUGCUCA